rnacentral:rRNA from 1 species
GAUGAACGCUGGCGGCGUGCCUAAUACAUGCAAGUCGAGCGAACGGACGAGAAGCUUGCUUCUCUGAUGUUAGCGGCGGACGGGUGAGUAACACGUGGAUAACCUACCUAUAAGACUGGGAUAACUUCGGGAAACCGGAGCUAAUACCGGAUAAUAUUUUGAACCGCAUGGUUCAAAAGUGAAAGACGGUCUUGCUGUCACUUAUAGAUGGAUCCGCGCUGCAUUAGCUAGUUGGUAAGGUAACGGCUUACCAAGGCAACGAUGCAUAGCCGACCUGAGAGGGUGAUCGGCCACACUGGAACUGAGACACGGUCCAGACUCCUACGGGAGGCAGCAGUAGGGAAUCUUCCGCAAUGGGCGAAGGCCUGACGGAGCAACGCCGCGUGAGUGAUGAAGGUCUUCGGAUCGUAAAACUCUGUUAUUAGGGAAGAACAUAUGUGUAUGUAACUGUGCACAUCUUGACGGUACCUAAUCAGAAAGCCACGGCCAACUACGUGCCAGCAGCCGCGGUAAUACGUAGGUGGCAAGCGUUAUCCGGAAUUAUUGGGCGUAAAGCGCGCGUAGGCGGUUUUUUAAGUCUGAUGUGAAAGCCCACGGCUCAACCGUGGAGGGUCAUUGGAAACUGGAAAACUUGAGUGCAGAAGAGGAAAGUGGAAUUCCAUGUGUAGCGGUGAAAUGCGCAGAGAUAUGGAGGAACACCAGUGGCGAAGGCGACUUUCUGGUCUGUAACUGACGCUGAUGUGCGAAAGCGUGGGGAUCAAACAGGAUUAGAUACCCUGGUAGUCCACGCCGUAAACGAUGAGUGCUAAGUGUUAGGGGGUUUCCGCCCCUUAGUGCUGCAGCUAACGCAUUAAGCACUCCGCCUGGGGAGUACGACCGCAAGGUUGAAACUCAAAGGAAUUGACGGGGACCCGCACAAGCGGUGGAGCAUGUGGUUUAAUUCGAAGCAACGCGAAGAACCUUACCAAAUCUUGACAUCCUUUGACAACUCUAGAGAUAGAGCCUUCCCCUUCGGGGGACAAAGUGACAGGUGGUGCAUGGUUGUCGUCAGCUCGUGUCGUGAGAUGUUGGGUUAAGUCCCGCAACGAGCGCAACCCUUAAGCUUAGUUGCCAUCAUUAAGUUGGGCACUCUAAGUUGACUGCCGGUGACAAACCGGAGGAAGGUGGGGAUGACGUCAAAUCAUCAUGCCCCUUAUGAUUUGGGCUACACACGUGCUACAAUGGACAAUACAAAGGGCAGCGAAACCGCGAGGUCAAGCAAAUCCCAUAAAGUUGUUCUCAGUUCGGAUUGUAGUCUGCAACUCGACUACAUGAAGCUGGAAUCGCUAGUAAUCGUAGAUCAGCAUGCUACGGUGAAUACGUUCCCGGGUCU